UAGGGAAUCUUCCGCAAUGGGCGAAAGCCUGACGGAGCAACGCCGCGUGAGUGAUGAAGGUCUUCGGAUCGUAAAACUCUGUUAUUAGGGAAGAACAAAUGUGAAAGUAACUAUGCACGUCUUGACGGUACCUAAUCAGAAAGCCACGGCUAACUACGUGCCAGCAGCCGCGGUAAUACGUAGGUGGCAAGCGUUAUCCGGAAUUAUUGGGCGUAAAGCGCGCGUAGGCGGUUUUUUAAGUCUGAUGUGAAAGCCCACGGCUCAACCGUGGAGGGUCAUUGGAAACUGGAAAACUUGAGUGCAGAAGAGGAAAGGGGAAUUCCAUGUGUAGCGGUGAAAUGCGCAGAGAUAUGGAGGAACACCAGUGGCGAAGGCGACUUUCUGGUCUGUAACUGACGCUGGUGUGCGAAAGCGUGGGGAUCAAACAGG
rnacentral:rRNA from 1 species